UACAGAGGCCUCGAGCGUUGUUCGGAAUUACUGGGCGUAAAGGGAAUGUAGGUGGUGACGUAAGUCAGAUGUGAAAGCCCUGGGCUUAACCUGGGAAGUGCAUUUGAUACUGCGUUGCUUGAGUACGAGAGAGGAAAGCGGAAUUCCAAGUGUAGGAGUGAAAUCCGUAGAUAGUUGGAGGAAUACCGAUGGCGAAGGCAGCUUUCUGGCUCGUAACUGACACUGAGAUUCGAAAGCGUGGGUAGCAAACAGG
rnacentral:rRNA from 1 species